rnacentral:rRNA from 1 species
UACGUAGGGUGCGAGCGUUGUCCGGAAUUACUGGGCGUAAAGAGCUUGUAGGUGGUUUGUCGCGUUGUUCGUGAAAUCUCACGGCUUAACUGUGAGCGUGCGGGCGAUACGGGCAGACUAGAGUACUGCAGGGGAGACUGGAAUUCCUGGUGUAGCGGUGGAAUGCGCAGAUAUCAGGAGGAACACCGGUGGCGAAGGCGGGUCUCUGGGCAGUAACUGACGCUGGAGGAGCGAAAGCGUGGGGAGCGAACAGG